AACGAACGCUUGCGGCGUGCUUAACACAUGCAAGUCGAACGAGAAAGGGGCUUCGGCCCUGAGUAAAGUGGCGCACGGGUGAGUAACGCGUAGGUAAGCUACCCCUGUGUUCGGGACAACAUCGGGAAACUGGUGCUAAUACCGGAUACGGUUCACGGAUUGCGAAAUAAGUGAAGGAAAGAUGGCGACCCUUCGGGGGCUAUUGCACGGGGAUGAGCCUGCGUACCAUUAGCUAGUUGGCAGGGUAAGGGCCUACCAAGGCGACGAUGGUUAGCGAGGCUGAGAGGAUGAUCCGCCACACUGGCACUGGAACACGGGCCAGACUCCUACGGGAGGCAGCAGUGAGGAAUUUUGCACAAUGGGGGAAACCCUGAUGCAGCGACGCCGCGUGGGUGACGAAGGUCUUCGGAUCGUAAAGCUCUGUCAGCAGGGAAGAAAUGUGCGAUGGCUAAUAUCCGUAGUACUUGACGGUACCUGCAAAGGAAGCACCGGCUAACUCCGUGCCAGCCGCCGCCGUAAAAC
rnacentral:rRNA from 1 species